UACGGAGGGUGCGAGCGUUGUCCGGAAUCAUUGGGCGUAAAGGGCGCGUAGGUGGCGGGACAAGCGUGCGGUGAAAGCUCGGGGCUCUACCCCGAGUCGGCCGUGCGAACUGUUUUGCUUGAGCACUGUAGAGGCAGGCGGAAUUCCGGGUGUAGCGGUGGAAUGCGUAGAGAUCCGGAAGAACACCGGUGGCGAAGGCGGCCUGCUGGGCAGUAGCUGACACUGAGGCGCGACAGCGUGGGGAGCAAACAGG
rnacentral:rRNA from 1 species